ACAGUUGUCCUGGAGCUACCUGGGCCCAGAUGCCCCAGCUCUCUCCAUGCAGACCUUUCUACCUACCUCUCCUCUCAUACUGGGCUGUCCGUGUAGCAUGUGUUUUCUCCUGGGACCCUGAAGCACACAUCCAUUCUACUCAUGUAAAACAGACAGCUGCAUAAGAGAAAAUAAUAUAUUCACGUGUACAGCUAUUGGCAAGAAGUCUUCAGAGAUGGAGAAACCGAUGAAGAAUCUUGCUGCAAGAUCCCAACCUAUGCCAAGGGCCACUGCGAGGAGCCAGCAUGGACACAAAAUUCACACCCAGGGCAGCUCCUGUGUCUUCUGAGCCUCUCAUGAGGGCUGCAAGCACAGUGGUCUGGUACUGCCUGCCUGUAAUGUUUUCUUUUAGAAUAGAUCCUGUGUGUAGAUGACAGAGCAUUCUACAUCAUUACUACGUGGGAUGCUGAGAACCAGGUGUUUUCUUCUCUGGGCAUAAGCUCCUGAGGCUCCCGAAAGUCUCAUCCUCCUGGGCCGAGGAUGCUGAAGGGAGCCGUGGGAUGGAAGGCGGGCCCAGAAAGCACACGGGCAGGCAGAAUCUGCUCUGCCCAGCUCCAGUGUCUUUUCUUUACUGUACUCACCGUAUGUUUUCAGAAAGACAGGCCAAGAACAAAAGUGGGAGCCACCUAAAUGUCCAACCAUGAUGGUCCAUGAACACAGUGCAAUGUGCAAGAUAAUUGUGAAAAUUGUGCGGAAGUAUGGGGAACUGCUUAGGAUACACAGUUAAGUGAAUAAGGCAGCAUGUUAAGUGUUAUAUAUGCCAUGGUUACAAUUCCAAAAAUAUGUAUGUACAUAGGCAAAUUCUGGAAGAAUAAAACCAGAAGAAAAUGUUGUAUUAAAGUGAUAGCAUCAUGGAUGUA